rnacentral:misc_RNA from 1 species
UACGGAGGGUGCGAGCGUUGUUCGGAAUUACUGGGCGUAAAGGGAGCGCAGGCGGGUUGUUCAGUCUAAAGUGGAAGCCCGGGGCCCAACCUCGGACGUGCUUUGGAUACUGGCAGCCUUGAGUUCGCGAGAGGAAAGCGGAAUUCCAGGUGUAGCGGUGAAAUGCUUAGAUAUCUGGAGGAACACCAGUGGCGAAAGCGGCUUUCUGGCGCGAAACUGACGCUGAGGCUCGAAAGCGUGGGGAGCGAACGGG